UGCCUUACACAUGCAAGUCGAACGGUAACGCGGGGCAACCUGGCGACGAGUGGCGAACGGGUGAGUAAUAUAUCGGAACAUACCCUAGAGUGGGGGAUAACGUAGCGAAAGUUACGCUAAUACCGCAUACGCACUAAGGUGGAAAGUGGGGGAUCGCAAGACCUCAUGCUCAUGGAGUGGCCGAUAUCUGAUUAGCUAGUUGGUAGGGUAAAAGCCUACCAAGGCGACGAUCAGUAGCUGGUUUGAGAGAACGACCAGCCACACUGGAACUGAGACACGGUCCAGACUCCUACGGGAGGCAGCAGUGGGGAAUUUUGGACAAUGGGGGCAACCCUGAUCCAGCAUUGCCGCGUGAGUGAAGAAGGCCUUCGGGUUGUAAAGCUC
rnacentral:rRNA from 1 species